rnacentral:rRNA from 1 species
UGAGCAAUCUGCCCUUCUCUUCGGAAUAAGCGUGGGAAACCGCGUCUAAUGCCGAAUACGACCUCCUUUCGCAUGAUCGGAGGUGGAAAGCUCCGGCGGAGAAGGAUGAGCUCGCGGCCUAUCAGCUAGUUGGUGUGGGUAAUGGCCCACAAGGCGACGACGGGUAGCCGGCCUGAGAGGGUGACCGGCCACACGUGGGACUGAGACACGGCCCAGACCUCCGUACGGGAGNAGCG